UACAGAGGGUGCAAGCGUUGUUCGGAAUUAUUGGGCGUAAAGCGCGUGUAGGCGGUUUUGCAAGUCGGGUGUGAAAGCCCUCAGCUCAACUGAGGAAGUGCGCCCGAAACUGCAGAGCUUGAGUACCGGAGAGGAUGGCGGAAUUCCCCAAGUAGAGGUGAAAUUCGUAGAUAUGGGGAGGAACACCGGUGGCGAAGGCGGCCAUCUGGACGGAUACUGACGCUGAGACGCGAAAGCGUGGGUAGCAAACAGG
rnacentral:rRNA from 1 species